rnacentral:rRNA from 1 species
GAUGAACGCUGGCGGCGUGCUUAAUACAUGCAAGUCGAACGAAGCACCUCUCCCGAAGACAGACCCAGCUUGCUGGGGAUUGAUUCAUUUGAGGUGACUGAGUGGCGGACGGGUGAGUAACGCGUGGGUAACCUGCCUUAUACAGGGGGAUAACAGUUGGAAACGACUGCUAAUACCGCAUAAGCGCACAGUACCGCAUGGUACGGUGUGAAAAACUCCGGUGGUAUAAGAUGGACCCGCGUCUGAUUAGCUGGUUGGUGAGGUAACGGCUUACCAAGGCAACGAUCAGUAGCCGACUUGAGAGAGUGAUCGGCCACAUUGGGACUGAGGCACGGCCCAAACUCCUACGGGAGGCAGCAGUAGGGAAUAUUGCACAAUGGGGGAAACCCUGAUGCAGCGACGCCGCGUGAAGGAUGAAGUAUUUCGGUAUGUAAACUUCUAUCAGCAAGGAAGAAAAUGACGGUACUUGACUAAGAAGCCCCGGCUAA